AUACCUGUUCAAGGCUAAUUAUCUUUUGCUACUGGACGGUACCUAAUUAAAUAAGCAUCAUUCUAACUUCGGUGGCCAGCAGCCGUGUUAUUCUGAGGGGUGCUAGCGUUGUUCGGAUCUACCGGGGGUAAUAUCCACGUAGGCGGUUUUGUAAGUCUGUGGUGAAAUGCCCGGGCUCAGCCUGGGAAUUGUGAUGGAGAGUGCAAGGCUAGAAUAUCUCAGAGGGUGUGUGGAGUUCCACGUGUAGCAGUGAAAUCCGUAGAGAUGCGGGGGAACACCGAUGGCGAAGGCAGCUCCCUGGUUCAAGAUUGACGCUCAUGCACGAAAGCGUGGGGAGCAACCAGGAUUAGAUACCCUGGUAGUGCACUCCCUAAAAGAUGUCUACUAGUUGUCGGGUUUUAAUUAACUUGGUAACGCAGCUAACGCGUGAAGUAGACCGCCUGGGGAGUACGGUCGCAAGAUUAAACCUCAAAGGAAUUGCCGGGGACCCGCACAAGCGGUGGAUGAUGCGGAUUAAUUCGAUGCAACCCGAAAAACCUUACAUGCCCUUGACAUGUUCGGAAGACCGAAGAGAUUUGGUUGUGCUCGAAAGAGAUCCGUAACACAGGUGCUGCAUGGCUGUCGUCAGCUCGUGUCGUGAGAUGUUGGGUUAAGUCCCGCAACGAGCGCAACCCUUGUCAUUAGUUGCUACAUUUAGUUGAGCUCUUUAAUGAGGCCCCCGGUGACAAACCGGAGGAAGGUGGGGAUGACGUCAAGUCCUCAUGGCCCUUAUGGGUAGGGCUUCACACGUCAUACAAUGGUACAUACAGAGGGCCGCCAACCCGCGAGGGGGAGCUAAUCCCAGAAAGUGUAUUGUAGUCCGGAUCGUAGUCUGCAACUCGACUACGUGAAGUUGGAAUCGCUAGUAAUCGCGGAUCAGCAUGUCGCGGUGAAUACGUUCCCGGGUCUUGUACACGCCGCCCGUCACACCAUGGGAGUUUGUUGCACCAGAAGCAGGUAGCUUAACCUUCGGGAGGGCGCUGCCACGGUGGCCGUACUUUAAAAAAAAAAAAAAACCCC
rnacentral:rRNA from 1 species